UUGCAGAGAUCUCAACUUAUGUGUUCAUGAUUUCCAAAAUUGGAACUUACCCAUAGAUGGUGGUCUAGAUGACCAACUUUGGGUAUCAGAAAGAUUGUUUUAUCAACAUCUUGGAAUUCAUGUACAUGUAUAUUGUUACAUCCAACUGAUAGAAAAUAAUCAAGUGUGCAUCGUUUACCAGAUGCAUAAUAACGGAAUCAAAUUUAUUACAAAUUGAAGAAACUAUACCAGUAAUUGUAAAGUCUGGAUUGACUCUAAAUUGAUUCUAAAUGGGAGAAAAGUAAACAUGACUGCUUAUGCUUUCACUAUUACAAGCUUUAUAUUUUGGAUGUACGUGUCAUGAAUGUUUAUGAAUAGCUUACUGACUCAAUUAAGUCAUAUUGUUUUUUGUUGCAAUUUAUAUUAAAGAUCAAAA
rnacentral:misc_RNA from 1 species